rnacentral:rRNA from 1 species
GAUGAACGCUGGCGGCGUGCCUAAUACAUGCAAGUCGAGCGAACAGACGAGGAGCUUGCUCCUCUGACGUUAGCGGCGGACGGGUGAGUAACACGUGGAUAACCUACCUAUAAGACUGGGAUAACUUCGGGAAACCGGAGCUAAUACCGGAUAAUAUAUUGAACCGCAUGGUUCAAUAGUGAAAGACGGUUUUGCUGUCACUUAUAGAUGGAUCCGCGCCGCAUUAGCUAGUUGGUAAGGUAACGGCUUACCAAGGCGACGAUGCGUAGCCGACCUGAGAGGGUGAUCGGCCACACUGGAACUGAGACACGGUCCAGACUCCUACGGGAGGCAACAGUAGGGAAUCUUCCGCAAUGGGCGAAAGCCUGACGGAGCAACGCCGCGUGAGUGAUGAAGGUCUUCGGAUCGUAAAACUCUGUUAUUAGGGAAGAACAAAUGUGUAAGUAACUAUGCACGUCUUGACGGUACCUAAUCAGAAAGCCACGGCUAACUACAUG